rnacentral:antisense_RNA from 1 species
CUUUGUAGGAGCUGCCGAAGGCUGCGAUCUUUUGCUCUUUAAAAGUCAAAAGAUCGCAGCCUUCGGCAGCUCCUACAAAA